rnacentral:rRNA from 1 species
CCUACGGGUGGCAGCAGUGGGGAAUAUUGCACAAUGGGGGAAACCCUGAUGCAGCGACGCCGCGUGAGCGAAGAAGUAAUUCGUUACGUAAAGCUCUAUCAGCAGGGAAGAAAAUGACGGUACUUGAGUAAGAAGCCCCGGCUAACUACGUGCCAGCAGCCGCGGUAAUACGUAGGGGGCAAGCGUUAUCCGGAUUUACUGGGUGUAAAGGGAGCGUAGACGGCAGUGCAAGUCUGGAGUGAAAGGCUGAGGCUCAACCCCCGGACUGCUCUGGAAACUGUACGGCUGGAGUGCAGGAGAGGUAAGUGGAAUUCCUAGUGUAGCGGUGAAAUGCGUAGAUAUUAGGAGGAACACCAGUGGCGAAGGCGGCUUACUGGACUGUAACUGACGUUGAGGCUCGAAAGCGUGGGGAGCAAACAGGAUUAGAUACCCUUGUAGUC